rnacentral:rRNA from 1 species
GUGAGCCAUGCGUCAAGAAAAGCCGCUAUUGUUUAUACCGUACCCGUACCGUAAACCGACACAGGUGGAUGAGGAGAGAAUCCUAAGGCCGGCGGAAGAAGCAUUGUCAAGGAACUCGGCAAAAUGGCCCCGUAACUUAGGGAUAAGGGGUGCCCCAGAAAUGAGGCCGCAGAGAAUAGGCUCAAGCAACUGUUUAGCAAAAACACAGGUCUAUGCGAAACCGAAAGGUGAGGUAUAUGGGCUGACGCCUGCCCGGUGCUGGAAGGUUAAGAGGAGAGGUUAGCGCAAGCGAAGCUUUGAAUUUAAGCCCCAGUAAACGGCGGCCGUAACUAUAACGGUCCUAAGGUAGCGAAAUUCCUUGUCGGGUAAGUUCCGACCCGCACGAAAGGCGUAAUGAUUUGAGCGCUGUCUCGACAAUGCAUCCGGUGAAAUUGAAGUACCAGUGAAGAUGCUGGUUACCUGCGCCAGGACGGAAAGACCCCAUGGAGCUUUACUCCAGUUUGGUACUGGGACUCGGUAUUGCAUGUACAGGAUAGGUGGGAGGCUAGGAGAUAGUAACGCCAGUUAUUAUGGAGCCGCUGUUGGGAUACCACCCUUGCAGUAUUGGGUUUCUAACCAGCCGCCGUGACCCGGCGGUGGGACAAUGCCAGACGGGGAGUUUGGCUGGGGCGGUCGCCUCCGAAAGGGUAUCGGAGGCGCCCAAAGGUUCCCUCAGAAUGGACGGAAACCAUUCGAAGAGUGCAAAGGCAGAAGGGAGCUUGACUGCGACACCGACGGGUGGAGCAGGUACGAAAGUAGGGCUUAGUGAUCCGGUGGUAUUAAGUGGGAAUGCCAUCGCUCAACGGAUAAAAGCUACCCUGGGGAUAACAGGCUUAUCACUCCCAAGAGUUCACAUCGACGGAGUGGUUUGGCACCUCGAUGUCGGCCCAUCGCAUCCUGGGGCUGUAGUAGGUCCCAAGGGUUGGGCUGUUCGCCCAUUAAAGCGGUACGCGAGCUGGGUUCAGAACGUCGUGAGACAGUUCGGUCCCUAUCCGGCGUGGGCGUAGGAUAUCUGAGAGGAGCUGUCCUUAGUACGAGAGGACCGGGAUGGACGGGCCGCUGGUGCAUCGGUUAGACUGCCAAGUCUACGGCCGAGUAGCCAAGCCCGGAAGGGAUAAACGCUGAAGGCAUCUAAGCGUGAAGCCCCCCUUAAGAUGAGAUAUCCCAUUCGAAAGAAGUAAACCCCCUUGAAGACGACGAGGUAGAUAGGGCAGAGGUGGAAGUGCAGUAAUGCAUGGAGCUGACUGUUACUAAUCGGGUGAGGGCUUGAUCAA